rnacentral:rRNA from 1 species
CUCCUACGGGGGGCAGCAGUGGGGAAUAUUGCACAAUGGGGGAAACCCUGAUGCAGCAACGCCGCGUGAGUGAAGAAGUAUUUCGGUAUGUAAAGCUCUAUCAGCAGGGAAGAAGAUGACGGUACCUGAGUAAGAAGCCCCGGCUAACUACGUGCCAGCAGCCGCGGUAAUACGUAGGGGGCAAGCGUUAUCCGGAUUUACUGGGUGUAAAGGGAGCGCAGACGGUGAGACAAGUCUGAAGUGAAAGCCCGGGG